CGGGGUUAAGUAGAGUGGCGAACGGGUUAGUAACGCGUGGGAACAUACACAGCACAGGGGGAUAACCAUUGGAAACGAUGGCUAAUACCGCAUACGCCCUAUUGGGGAAAGAUUUAUCGGUGUUGGAUUGGCCCGCGUUAGAUUAGCUAGUUGGUGGGGUAAUGGCUCACCAAGGCGACGAUUUAUAGCUGGUUUGAGAGGAUGAUCAGCAACACUGGAACUGAGACACGGUCCAGACUCCUACGGGAGGCAGCAGUCGGGAAUAUUGUGCAAUGGGGGCAACCCUGACACAGCCAUGCCGCGUGAGUGAAGAAGGCCUUAGGGUUGUAAAGCUCUUUCAGAUGUGAGGAUGAUGACGAUAGCAUCAGAAGAAGCUCCGGCUAACUUCGUGCCAGCAGCCGCAGUAAUACGAAGGGAGCUAGCGUUGUUCGGAAUUACUGGGCGUAAAGGGCGUGUAGGCGGAUUAUCAAGUUAGGGGUGAAAUCCCGGGGCUCAACCUCGGCACUGCCUUUAAGACUGAUAAUCUAGAGUAUGUGAGGGGAUAAUGGAAUACCUA
rnacentral:rRNA from 1 species